GGGCUUCUUUAUUGGACAUUCAUUUUAUGUUCUUCCACUAUCAACACGUGUACACUAUUUCUUUCUACUUGCAAAUCACCAAGACUUUCUUACUUUGGUUUCUCCUCCUCUUUUCAAUUCUCUUUUCUCUUCUUUAUUUGCCAUUAAAUUUCACUCAAGAGGGCGACAAAGUAUUUGAAAAGAAGAAAUAUUUUAGGCCACAUCUAUUUCUUCUUGGAGCAAAAUUAGAUCUCACUACUUGAAAGGGAAAUUUUGAGGAAAUCGAUUCUAAAAAAGAUGGAGAUUGUUUCUCUUGCUCAAACGGAGAAAAUUUUGCUAUCUUAAUCAUGCUUUGGAAGUAUCUUCCUCAUUUUGGUACUUUUGGUUAUUUAAAAGAAUAAUUUUAGGAUUCUUAAUCGACACAACUUCAAUUGGUAUGAAGGACCAAUUAUUACAAGUUAGGGAGAAGGAAGUAAAAAAAUGGCAACAAAGUAAGGCAAUCCUGAAAUUCCCCAUUUUGGGAACGUCCAGUGCCAAUGUCAGUGAAUGAGUAAGUCACCAAUCCCUGGACUAUGUAAUGUGCUUUAUCUGCUGACUUCUCUUUCUAUUCAACCUCAAAAGCAGACCACUUUUUCAUCUGAUGCUGCAGUACAAACGAUCCUACAUCUGCAUAUGGAGUAGGCAUAAAGGUCAUUCAAAAGACAAUUACCAAAAAUAGUGUAAAUUGUCAUAUGCUUAAACCAACAUUGACAUAAAAGUAUGGAUUUGUCACCAUAGCAUUUUACUGUCCAAUACACUUUAUAAUUAGUGUCCGAAAAGAAAGGAUCCAUCCUAACAGCUUGAGAUCUUUGAUUAUCUAUAGACAAAAACAUAGUCAAAACCCAAAUAUAUGAAAAAGAUCAAUAUGAUCAAUGAAGUUACAAUAGUCCAGCUACCAUGAAUAAACAUGUAUAUCUCAUACAGAAAGCUUAUCUAAGAAGGAUUAAAAGAAUUUUGCAACGUUUCUGUGUACAUGAGAGCGCUUGGUGUACUCAUCUUCUCUUUAGCUUUGAAGUUAGUAUGCCUAAUUUGAAACACGAACAACUAAGCACUGAAAAUAAUAAAAUAAAGAGAAUUCAUCUUUGAAAUUAGGCCUACAAACUACAAAAAUAAAGAGAAGAUGAGUACACCAAACUUUGUUAUAUAAAGAGAAGCGUAGAAAAAUUCUUUCAAUUCAUUCUUAAAUACGCUUUCUGUGUCAGAUACACAUGUUUGUUCAUGGUGGCUGCACUAUUGUAACUUCAUUGAUCAUAUUGAUCUUUUUCAUAUAUUUGAGUUUUGACUAUGUUUUUGUCUCUAGGAAAUCAAAGAUUUCAAGCUGUUAGGACGGAGCCUUUCUUUUCUGGCACUAAUUGUAAAUUGUAUCGGACACUAAAAUGCUAUGGUAACAAAUCCAUACUUCUAUGUCAAGGAAGUAUCUUCCUCAUUUUGGUACUUUUGGUUACUGAAAAGAAUAAUUUUUGGUAUUCUCAUUCGACACAGCCUCAAUUGGUAUGAAGGACCAAUUAUUACAAGUUAGGUAGAAGAAAGUACAAAGAUGGUGCAGGCACAGGGAGACGAUAGAGCUACAGGAUCAUCGCUGCAGUUAUCCGGGCGUCCAGCAUUCAUCCGGUUUUGGUAGGUUCUCAUGCUUUCAAGGAUGCUGUUGUUUUAUAUUCUAGCUUAGUUUUAGAGUUGAGCUAGUGGAGCAUGUUUUACUAGCGUUUCUUUUCUGUUUUUAUUCAGACUAUGUAUUGGUGCCAUUUUGACA